rnacentral:rRNA from 1 species
GACGAACGCUGGCGGCGUGCUUAACACAUGCAAGUCGAACGGAAAGGCCCUGCUUUUGUGGGGUGCUCGAGUGGCGAACGGGUGAGUAACACGUGAGUAACCUGCCCUUGACUUUGGGAUAACUUCAGGAAACUGGGGCUAAUACCGGAUAGGAGCUCCUGCUGCAUGGUGGGGGUUGGAAAGUUUCGGCGGUUGGGGAUGGACUCGCGGCUUAUCAGCUUGUUGGUGGGGUAGUGGCUUACCAAGGCUUUGACGGGUAGCCGGCCUGAGAGGGUGACCGGCCACAUUGGGACUGGGAUACGGCCCAGACUCCUACGGGAGGCAGCAGUGGGGAAUAUUGCACAAUGGGCGGAAGCCUGAUGCAGCAACGCCGCGUGCGGGAUGACGGCCUUCGGGUUGUAAACCGCUUUCGCCUGUGACGAAGCGUGAGUGACGGUAAUGGGUAAAGAAGCACCGGCUAACUACGUGCCAGCAGCCGCGGUGAUACGUAGGGUGCGAGCGUUGUCCGGAUUUAUUGGGCGUAAAGGGCUCGUAGGUGGUUGAUCGCGUCGGAAGUGUAAUCUUGGGGCUUAACCCUGAGCGUGCUUUCGAUACGGGUUGACUUGAGGAAGGUAGGGGAGAAUGGAAUUCCUGGUGGAGCGGUGGAAUGCGCAGAUAUCAGGAGGAACACCAGUGGCGAAGGCGGUUCUCUGGGCCUUUCCUGACGCUGAGGAGCGAAAGCGUGGGGAGCGAACAGGCUUAGAUACCCUGGUAGUCCACGCUGUAAACGGUGGGUACUAGGUGUGGGGUCCAUUCCACGGGUUCCGUGCCGUAGCUAACGCUUUAAGUACCCCGCCUGGGGAGUACGGCCGCAAGGCUAAAACUCAAAGGAAUUGACGGGGCCCCGCACAAGCGGCGGAGCAUGCGGAUUAAUUCGAUGCAACGCGUAGAACCUUACCUGGGUUUGACAUGGAUCGGGAGCGCUCAGAGAUGGGUGUGCCUCUUUUGGGGUCGGUUCACAGGUGGUGCAUGGCUGUCGUCAGCUCGUGUCGUGAGAUGCUGGGUUAAGUCCCGCAACGAGCGCAACCCUUGUUCACUGUUGCCAGCACGUUAUGGUGGGGACUCAGUGGAGACCGCCGGGGUCAACUCGGAGGAAGGUGGGGAUGACGUCAAGUCAUCAUGCCCCUUAUGUCCAGGGCUUCACGCAUGCUACAAUGGCUGGUACAGAGAGUGGCGAGCCUGUGAGGGUGAGCGAAUCUCGGAAAGCCGGUCUCAGUUCGGAUUGGGGUCUGCAACUCGACCUCAUGAAGUCGGAGUCGCUAGUAAUCGCAGAUCAGCAACGCUGCGGUGAAUACGUUCCCGGG